CUCUAGAUUAACGUAACCUUGUUCUAACUUCUAACUGUAUAAAUAAACUAUCCAUCCCAACUUCACUCUACAAGCAUCGAUCAGAUUUACCCAUUUUGAUAAAACCAACUUUUAGUCUACCAUGCGUAUACUUUCAUUGCCUCGACUCUGCAGGGAUGAAGUUGAUUCACCAUUUAUCUUGGACUUCAUCUGCUACGCAAAUCCCUUAACUGUAGGCAUUAAACAUCUCACAUUCAGUAUGUUGC